rnacentral:rRNA from 1 species
UAGAGGAAGUAAAAGUCGUAACAAGGUCUCCGUAGGUGAACCUGCGGAGGGAUCAUUACACAAUAUGAAGGCGGGCUGGACACCCUCCAGCCGGGCACUGCUUCACGGCGUGCGCGGCUGGAGCCGGCCCUGCUGAAUUAUUCACCCGUGUCUUUUGCGUACUUCUUGUUUCCUGGGUGGGCUCGCCCGCCAUCAGGACCAACCAUAAACCUUUUUGUAAUAGCAAUCAGCGUCAGUAACAACGUAAUUAAUUACAACUUUCAACAACGGAUCUCUUGGUUCUGGCAUCGAUGAAGAACGCAGCGAAAUGCGAUACGUAGUGUGAAUUGCAGAAUUCAGUGAAUCAUCGAAUCUUUGAACGCACAUUGCGCCCUUUGGUAUUCCAAAGGGCAUGCCUGUUCGAGCGUCAUUUGUACCCUCAAGCUUUGCUUGGUGUUGGGCGUCUUUUGUCUCCAGCUCGCUGGAGACUCGCCUUAAAGUCAUUGGCAGCCGGCCUACUGGUUUCGGAGCGCAGCACAAGUCGCGCUCUUGCCCAGCCAAGGUCAGCGUCCAGCAAGCCUUUUUUCAACCUUUGACCUCGGAUCAGGUAGGGAUACCCGCUGAACUUAAGCAUA